rnacentral:sRNA from 1 species
UUGAUAAGCAUGAAGCCUGAAGUCCUCUGUUUGCCCACAGAGCCGGUACAGUGCAGGAAGUGGAAAUGCAAGCUUCCCUGCAAUGCCUGUGGGGUAAUUUGGUCUCUGGAAGUCACUGCAGAGAAAGUGCCAAUUCAUUUCAGUUGCAGUGGUGGCUUUGGUGAAGCAGGCAGUUGAACCUCUUUUGUUUUCUGAAGAAC